CUGUCGCGAUUGAAUGGGACUUUCUCUGUCUGUGUUGGCUUAUCAAAGUGGAUUUUUUCCUCCCUCUCAAGUUGACUACUAUCAAGUGGGUGUAGAAUUGCUGAAUUCGGCCAAUUUACGUACGCAGAAAGUCCAGCAGACAGACGAGGAAAGAGUGGGAUAUUGCGAGGGAAGUGAUGAUCAUUUUCCACCACUGAAAGUGUGCAAAGUGAGUCCCUUUGUCCUCGUGAAUUUCGGACUUUUUCCCACUGGCGACGAGUGCUGAGGAGGCUUGCGAGGAAAAGGCUUCCAUAGGCAGUGGUCAAUGAAAAGCGCGCAAUUUUGAGCUACACAAGGUUAUUGCCAUCAUCCACUCUCGUGUGCGUCUAUUUUAGUGACACCAAAUAUCAAAGAUGACAUGGAAUCGGCGGCCGAGCGAGACGCGGGAUGACUGAUUCACGGGUGGCGAGCGUCGUGAGUCCCGCUAUGAGAAUAGGCCUGCGUGAGCUGCUGAACAGUGACACGAGAGCUUCGGGGGCGCAGGGAGGGCCCGCGGUCGGGGGAUCCGGGGAGCGGAGUGUCCUGAGGCCGCCUGUGCAGUGAGCGGAGGAUGAGUGGACUCAUGUAGCGGUAAGUGGAAGAUGAUGGCGUGCGAGGACGCGGAGUGACUCAGUGCAGACACCUCGCGCA